rnacentral:rRNA from 1 species
GAUGAACGCUGGCGGCGUGCCUAAUACAUGCAAGUCGAGCGAACAGACGAGGAGCUUGCUCCUCUGACGUUAGCGGCGGACGGGUGAGUAACACGUGGAUAACCUACCUAUAAGACUGGGAUAACUUCGGGAAACCGGAGCUAAUACCGGAUAAUAUAUUGAACCGCAUGGUUCAAUAGUGAAAGACGGUUUUGCUGUCACUUAUAUAUGGAUCCGCGCCGCAUUAGCUAGUUGGUAAGGUAACGGCUUACCAAGGCAACGAUGCGUAGCCGACCUGAGAGGGUGAUCGGCCACACUGGAACUGAGACACGGUCCAGACUCCUACGGGAGGCAGCAGUAGGGAAUCUUCCGCAAUGGGCGAAAGCCUGACGGAGCAACGCCGCGUGAGUGAUGAAGGUCUUGGGAUCGUAAAACUCUGUUAUUAGGGAAGAACAAAUGUGUAAGUAACUAUGCACGUCUUGACGGUACCUAAUCAGAAAGCCACGGCUAACUACGUG